rnacentral:misc_RNA from 1 species
GUGAAUCAUCAAAUUUUUGAACGCAAAUUGCACUUCUUGGUAUUCCGAGGAGUACACAUGCUUGAGGUUCAGUUAAAAAAAAAUCGUGCAUCUUUUAUGUUGCGGACCUGAGUGUUUCGAUUUUAUUAAUCGGUUACCUAAAAUUAUAUAUAUGUAAUGUGAAGCUUACUAAUUAUAGUUGCUAAUCAUUUAUACUUAUUACAUUACAACUUAAGUAUUUAGGUGGUGGUGUAUAAAUUAUGAGAAUGACAUCAAGUCAUGUGAGAGUACCUGCUGAACUUAAGAUUAUCACUAAUCGGAG